UGACAUAUUCAGAUUUAUAAUUCUUUUGACAAUCGAAUUAUAAGCAAAUAGGCUUUAAUAAGAAGCAUAUAAGGACAGAAGAGGAUGAUGAACGAAGGAAGAGAGUGAGGAUGAACAAUUAACGAUCUGAAGCUGGUUCGGCUUCAUUGACCAACUCUCGUUCUGUGCGCUUUGCUAUGGCUUAAAAAUCAAAUGAAAACUCUCUCGU